UGGAAGUAUCAUGUGUUGGACAGGAUCAGAUUUCAGGCACAGUUUCUAUCUUUCGUAAGCUUCAAAAGUCAAAUUAUAAAAAAACGCCUGCCACCUUUUAUGUAAAAAAUCUGAUC
rnacentral:sRNA from 1 species